rnacentral:lncRNA from 1 species
CCCACCCAGACAGGAAGAGGAGGAGGUAGGCCCCAUGAUGAUCAAGCACACAGGUUUAUUCCCGUGGAAGGAGGCAAAACAGAGGUUGAGGCUGGUGAGCCCACUCAGAUGGGAACCCUUCCCAAGGUCUACAGAGGCAGGGGCCUGCAUGGGAUAAAAGGCUUCAGUGGUGGCCCUGCCCCUCGCAUGCCGCUUAACAGUGGCACUUAGCCUCCGUGGCUACCUGGGUCUCCUCCUCAAACAUUCCCAGUUGUGGUCCUCUGUCCUGCAGUCCCUCCAAGCUGCUUCUGCACAACCACUGCAGUUCUCUCCCCAGGUCUGUUCCCUAAGCCCCAGGUUCUAACCCAGCCCUGGCCUGUAUCAGCAGUCACAUUCUCAGGCUGGGGCAUGCAGGCUGGUGGCACAGAUCAUCUGUGUAGAUCUCAUUCUGUCCUGCCUGCUACAGACUGGCUGCUGUGUUCUCCGAGCCUCCAAGCUCCUUAACUAUCCCAGUGUGGAAGCCUAUCUUCUUCAGCUUCCUUCCAGGGGCACAGGUCCUAACCUGCUUCUGCUUCCCUUUUCUUUUUUUUCCUUCUUUUCCCCUUUGUCCUACCCAGUUACAUGGACAUCCCUUUUGUCUUUUCAGGUGUUUGAGUUCCUCUGCCAGUGUUCACUUGGUGUCCUGUAAGGAUUCCUCCAUUCAUAGAAGUAUUUCUGAUGUAUUUGUGGGAAGAAGUGAGCUCCACAUCCUCUUUCUACUCUGCCAUCUUGUCUUCCCUUGAGUGUUGCUUUUUUUUAGGGCUGCACCUGCUGCAUAUGGAAGUUCCCAGGCUAGGGGUCGAAUGGGGAGCCACAGUUGCCAGCCUAUGCCACAGCAAUGCAGGAUCCAAGCCGUGUCAGCACACUACAGCACAGGUCGUGGCAGUGCCAAAGCCUUAACUCACUGAGGCCAGGAAUUGAACCUCUAUCCUCAUGGAUACUAGUCAGGUUUGUAGCCCACUGAGCCAUAUCAGGAACCCCCUCCAGUCUUGCUUUUUUAUCCAUUUUGACAACCUUUGUUUUUGGAAUGUUUACUCCACUAACAAUUAAUGUAAUUAUUGAUGUGAUGGUUUAAUCAUCUUUAUUUUUUGUUCUUCUGGGCUUUUUUUUUUUUUAAUUUAAUUUUACUGGAAUAUAGUUGACUUAAAUGUUGUAUUAGUUUCAGGUGUACAGCACAGUGAAUCAGUCAUACAUGUAAAUAUAUCCAUUCUUUUUCCCCAUAUAGGUUAUUACAGACUAUUGAGUAGAUUUUUCUGUGCUAUGUAUAGUAGGUUCUCAUUGAUCAACUAUUUUUCAUACUAGUGUGUGUGUGUUAUUCCUACACUCCCAGUUCUUCCCUACCCUCAGUGGUUUCACCUAUGGUAACUAUAAGAUUGGUUUUGAAAUCUAAGUUUGUUUCUAUUUUAUAAAUAAGUUCUCUUGUGUCAUUUUUAUAAGACUCCACAUGUAAAUGAUAUCAUAUGAUAUGUCUUUGACUUACUCAGUAUGAUAGUCUAUAAGUCCAUCCAUGAUGCUGCAAAUGGCAUUAUUUUGUUCUUUUUUAUGGCUGAGUAAUACUCCAUUGUAUAUAUGUACCACAUCUUGUUCCUCUGUCAGUGGACGUUUUGGUUGCUUCCAUGUCUUGGCUGUUGUAUAUUUCCUCUUUUUAACUGUUCCUUGCUGUAUUUUUUUAAGUGGUUACUCUAGGAAAUAAAAUGUAUAAACUUAUUUUUUAUAGUCUACUUAGAAAUAAAAUUUAUGUACCACAGCAUGUAAAAUAGAAGAAACUUUCAGCCAUAUAGGGUCAUUUAUUCCAUUCCCCUGUUCUUUCUGGUAUAGUUGUCAUACAUAAUUUAUCUAGAAGCAUAAUUAGCCCGUAUUAUACCAAGUUAAAUGUAUUGCUUAUAUAGUCAUAUGUAUUUUAAUGAAAUUAAUGGGAAAUAAUAGUCCUUUAUGUUUACCCCCGUGUUUACCAUUUAUGGUCCUAUUUAUUUCUUUGUAAAGUUCUGUUUCCAUCUGGUAUCUUUUGCAUCUGCCUAAUGAUCUUCCUUUAGCAUUUCUUAUGAUGUAGAUCUGGUGACAAUGAAUUUUCUCAUAUUGAAAAUUCUCUAUUUCACCUUAACUCUUAAGAUAUUUUUUACUGGAUAUAGAAUCCUGGAUUUAUUUAUUUUUAUUCUUUUAGAACUUUAAAGAUGUUAUGGAGUUCUUUUGUGGCUCAUCAGGUUAAUAAGUGUCUGUGAGGAUGCAGGUUUGAUCCCUGGCCUCACUCAGUGGGUUAAGGAUCUGGCAUUGUCACAAACUGUGGUGUAGGUUGCAGAUGCACCUCAGACUCCCUGUUGCUAUGGCUGUGGUGUAGGCCACCAGCUGCAGCUCCAAUUUGACCUCUAGCCCAGGAAUUUCCAUAUGCUGCAGAUGUGGCCCUAAAAAAAAUAAAUAAAUAAAGAUGUUCUGGCCUUUCUUGUUUCCAAUUAGAAGUAAGCAGACAUUUUGAAUCAUUUAUUAUUCCUUAAGUGUAAUUGGUUGUUUUGUUCCGGAUCCUUGAAGAUUUUUCUGAUUAAUUUUGAUUUUCAUCAUUUUAAUUAUGGCUUUGCCUAGACAUAUUUUUCUUUGUGUUUAUUGGGGUUUGCUGAGCCUCUUACAUCUUGCAUAUUGAGUCAGUUUGAGGCCAUUAUUCAUUCUUUCCUUCCAAUAUCUUUUCUUUUGUAUUUUGUCUCCUCCUAGGAAUCCAAUUAUAUACAUGUUAUCUGGAGUCCCCUCAGGGUCAGUCUCCAUUGAAUGUCUCUGAGUUUGGUUCACAUUGAAUUCUGUCAUGUUCCUCCUAAAAGUAUUACUUUCUUUUUUAAAAGUAAGACCAUUAGGUUGGCUGAACUGGAUCUGGAAACUUAACUCCUCUACAGUGGACAGCAGCUGAAAAUUUUCUUUUGUACUUUUAGCCUUUUAGGGCUACUUAGAGUCUGCUCUUCACAUUUGUGCUUCAGGGGUUAGCUAGAAAUUGGAGCACUGUUUAUAAACACUUUGGGGAUACUCCUGUUUCACUCUUCUUUGUAUCAUUUUCUUCCUAAUCAGCUGCAGCUUUUGGCGGGAAAUCGUUCCUCUGAGGCAAAAGAGUAAAACUGCAGGGUUUUUAUAUGCAUCUGAGCCUCUUGGCAUGGUCCUGCCCAACUGAAAAAUGGAAAAAAAACCCAUUCGCUCAGUGGAAUCUUCCUGCUUUUGAUUGCUCCCCAGUGCUUUUAGAGUUUUGUAUAUGUAUGUAUGUGUGUGUGUGUGUGUAUGUAUGUAUGUAUGUAUAUAUAUAUACACACAUUCCAGAAUUUAUAGUUCUUUUAUGUGAAAUUAUUACUCCAGCAGGGGUGGUUCAGCCAUGAUUAGAAGCAAAGUCUCUGGGCUUUUUUUUUUUUUUUUUUUUUUUUGGCUGUGCCCACAGUAUCAGUAUGUGAAACUUCCCAGGCCAGGGAUUGAACUCAUCAUAGCAGUGAAAAUCCUGGGUCCUUUAACUGCUAGGCCACCAGGGAACUCUUCUGGGCUAUUUUUAAUACCUAAGUUUUAGAGACACUUAUCUUUGGGACUGAAGAGAGCAGUCCCGAAUGAGCCCUCAGGAGUCCCUAGUUUAAGACAUGAGUUACAUGACAGGUAGAAGUAACAUUGGUCAUGACCUUACCCCAGGGUUUGGCUGUUAGAUUUGGCAGUAGUAACUGAACCAGGAACUCUUUAUUAGAGUUAGUUAAGUCAUUAGAUCAAGUCAAAGUAUUCCUCCAAACUGUAUGUAAAGAGUACACUCCCAACCUCUAGGGCCAGUAGUUUCAAAAAUUUUAAACUUUAUAUUUGUAUAGAGCCCAGUAAGGGAAAAGCCCUUUUCAUGUGGCCAGUAAAUGUUAAAUCACUGAUUAACAGCGUCAGUCCUUGUAAGUGAUUUAAUAUAUAAUUUAAGAGUUGUGAUGGAUUGGGGUGUGCCCAAGGAAAAGAAAAUUGCUUACAAUAUUAGGAAGUUCAAAACACAUAACCAUCUGUGACUUGAUGGAGGGGGGUGUACAUAAAGAUGUAUGAUGCCAUUUGUAAAACUAAUUUCUCUUUUCAUUUAAUCUCUGGUUGCCUAAGAAAACACAGCUAGUAAUUAAGAUACCAUUUGGUCUUGCUUAUAAAUGCUGUUGCCUUCAUUAAAUUUCACACUCGUGAAAAGGAGCUAUUAAGAGACAGCCUAAGGUAACACUUUUGAAUAGCUAACUUUGUUAAAAAUACGUUUUCCAAAUUUCUUGCAAUAAAAUGUAAUUGCAUUUUCUGUUUUCACUCAUAUAGAAUCUCCUCAGAUAUUAUUAGAGGUAAGACUUGGCGCUAAAGGGGAUAUUUGGUUAAACCCAAGUAGUACAGUGACUUUUUAGUUCUCCUUUCCUUGUCAUUCAUAAUAAAUAAAGUUUUCUGGUUUCUCUGAUUUUUCUUGCAACUCACUUCUUAUAAGGUUAAGUGGUGGCGGGGAAAGAUUCCAAAGUACAUACUGUUUUCAAACAGUGUCAGAUUUUAAGAUUGGUCAUUAAAGUGGUUAGGAAGCAGUCAACAAAUAAUCAUUGAGCCUGUACUGAAAUGCUAGAAUACCUUGAUGGCACACCUAUAAAGUUAAAAACAAAACAAGGUG